UAUAUAAGCUAGUCACGGCCACUGGUAGGCCACUUUGACAAUAUCGCCAUACCCCGAGGUCGACAAAAUGGAUUUUUACCUGCUAGUGUCUGUGAUAAUGUUUGUAGUUGGUAUUCCCCUUACUGCCGAAACAGUGGCAAUAAAAAGACAAGCACCAGGUUGUAAUUAUUAUGGACAGUGGUACCCAGAGGGUCAAACAUUUAGGGCACAUUUCCAUUGUGUCGUUUACAGAUGUGUAAAUGGUACAUAUAAUAUUGAAUCUGAAGGUUGUGAAAGGACGGACGGUAUAUGGAAUGGAACCUGUAUCGGAGUGGGUCGUCUUUUUUUUGACGGGUGUAGCGUUAGAGAGUGCAACAAGAGGAUCAGGAACUAUCACGACCAAUAUAUCAAUGAUGUCAUACUAGCAAGUAAGCCACUUCUUGGCAAUAACAUAGUU
rnacentral:sRNA from 1 species